UUAAUGGUCUCUAAGCAAAGUUUGUUUUUUUUAAAGUUAUUUAAAUUCUUCAUUAAUACCAUUGAUAUAUUGCUAACAUUUUAAAUGCUUUAUUUCUAUUCAUACUGCAGAUGGUGAUCUCUUUUUGGAACACACUGCGUUCUUAGUAAUAUUAUUUUUUAUUCAAAACCUUUAGAAAUAUAUCUAAAUAAUUUCUAACUUAAUACCAAAUAGAAAGAAUAAAAAAAAAACAAUUAAAACAAAAAACCAAAAGUAAAAAAAAAAAAA